rnacentral:tRNA from 1 species
AGUGCCGUGGUUAAGGAAUAGCGGUUCAAGUUUGAAAGAUCUAGGUUCGAAUCCUGGCUGCACUG